rnacentral:rRNA from 1 species
ACUCCUACGGGAGGCAGCAGUGGGGAAUAUUGCACAAUGGGCGCAAGCCUGAUGCAGCCAUGCCGCGUGUGUGAAGAAGGCCUCGGUUGUAAUGCANNCUUUCAUGUUGUGAGGAAGGAUGGUGUCGUUAAUAGCGGCAUCAUUUGACGUUAGCAACAGAAGAAGCACCGGCUAACUCCGUGCCAGCAGCCGCGGUAAUACGGAGGGUGCGAGCGUUAAUCGGAAUUACUGGCGUAAAGCGCAUGCAGGUGGUUUGUUAAGUCAGAUGUGAAAGCCCGGGCU